GAUGAACGCUGGCGGCGUGCUUAACACAUGCAAGUCGAACGGUGAACGAGGGAGCUUGCUCCCUCCGGAUCAGUGGCGAACGGGUGAGUAACACGUGAGCAAUCUGCCCUGGACUCUGGGAUAAGCGUUGGAAACGACGUCUAAUACCGGAUACGAGGCGUGGGGGCAUCCCCAACGCCUGGAAAGAACUUCGGUCCAGGAUGAGCUCGCGGCCUAUCAGGUAGUUGGUGAGGUAACGGCUCACCAAGCCGACGACGGGUAGCCGGCCUGAGAGGGUGACCGGCCACACUGGGACUGAGACACGGCCCAGACUCCUACGGGAGGCAGCAGUGGGGAAUAUUGCACAAUGGGCGCAAGCCUGAUGCAGCAACGCCGCGUGCGGGAUGAAGGCCUUCGGGUUGUAAACCGCUUUCAGCAGGGACGAAAUUGACGGUACCUGCAGAAGAAGCCCCGGCCAACUACGUGCCAGCAGCCGCGGUAAGAC
rnacentral:rRNA from 1 species